UAUCUCUGUAGAGUCUGCAUAUCAAUAAGCGGAGGAAAAGAAACUAACUAGGAUUCCCUUAGUAACGGCGAGUGAAGCGGGAAGAGCUCAAAUUUGAAAUCUUCAAGGUUUUACCUUGACGAAUUGUAGUUUAAAGAAGUGUUUUCUGUUGAGUGUUUUGGUAAAAGUUCUUUGGAAUAGGACAUCAUAGAGGGUGAGAAUCCCGUAUUUGACCAUUAUUUUCAGCUGUGUGAUACACUUUCAAAGAGUCGGAUUGUUUGGGAAUGCAGUCCAAAAUGGGUGGUAAAUUUCAUCUAAAGCUAAAUAUUGGCGAGAGACCGAUAGCGAACAAGUACCGCGAGGGAAAGAUGAAAAGAACUUUGAAAAGAGAGUUAAACAGUACGUGAAAUUGUCAAAAGGGAAGCGUUUGACACCAGUGUUGUUUUCUCGAAAAUCAAUUAAAAAGAGUUUGAUUUUGUUGUGUAUUGACCUUAACAGCUUGCAUUUCAAUUUUCUUGCUUUUUUUAAUGCACUUUUCGUUUAACAAGUCAACAUCAGUUUCUUUUGUUGUAAAAAGGUCAUUGGAAGGUGGCUUUCUUUUCGGAGAAAGUGUUUAUAGCCUUUGACUCCUGCAAUCGGAGAGACUGAGGUCUGCAGCGUAGAUCCCUCGGGGUUAGAUACAUUUGUGCUAAGUUAUAGCUUCUUAUAGACAACUUGUUGACUAUGAUUAGUCUUGUAGCUUACUCGCUUAUGCUAUUUUACCUACGCUUAGGAUGUUGAAGAUAUGCGCGACACG
rnacentral:rRNA from 1 species